rnacentral:lncRNA from 1 species
CGAGGCGACGGGCUCCGGGCCCUGAUAGAUGGGGUGCGGGGACGGAGACAAAUGACGGCCUUUGGGCUCGGAAUACCCACCUUUCUGGUAAUGCAGCCCAGCGGGUCCCAGCCUCGUUUUCCAGCCCUCACUCAAAAUGGAGUCGCUCUGGUUCGAACGCCUCUGACAAGUGUGUACCUACGUGUCAGGAUUUGCCGGGUGCUGGGCCCCAGAAGCCAGCCCUCCUGACGUGUGGCGGCCGUCCUCACCGCUCCCUCCUUCCCUGCAGCAUUCCCCAGCCCCCGGCCCACCCUCCUCCCACCCGCUUCCUGACCCAGGCUCCCGGGCCUUCCCCUCGUGGCCACCUAGCUGUGUGCUUUGUUUGGCUGCUGUCACCCCCAGGAAGGUGAUCCCCGUGAGAACUCAAAUAGCAGAUGCUCAUCUGGGACCCCCGCCUCCAGCCCCAGGGGAGGUUUCCUGGUCCUCACUGUGGCCGGGGCAUGGCUCCUUCACCCCGGGGCUCACCCUCGGUGUCCGUGAAGUCCAGCCGACGGUGACCCUAAGUCCUCCCUCCACUCGCCUAUGUUUGGGGAUAGCCCAUCCUUCCUGCAGGCCUUUGUCUUGGUGUCACCCUGCCUGAGCUGGCCCCAACCACAGUAGCAACAGUGAUGCUGAUGUGUGACUGCUGCCAGGAGCCUGCUCACAUGACCGUGUGGAGAAAGUUCUUUCCCUGAGGACCAUCUGGAGUGGACGCGUGCACUACCCCUCUCUGAAUACACCCUCCCCACGAGGCCCUCUGGAGCAUCCUGUAGAGCCAGCCCCUACCCAGAGACCCUGAGCCCAGAGAAUGCGCUGGGUGGUGAGCCUGGGGACGAAUGCAGAGCCCUAGGUCUCCUCUCCAGAAGUAAGUAUGGGGUUUGUGUAAAUUGCUUGGUCAGGAGGGCGGGACCUGGGGUCUUC